rnacentral:rRNA from 1 species
AGAUUAAACUGAAGAGUUUGAUCCUGGCUCAGAUUGAACGCUGGCGGGAUGCUUUACACAUGCAAGUCGGACGGCAGCACGGGGCUUCGGCCUGGUGGCGAGUGGCGAACGGGUGAGUAAUGUAUCGGAACGUGCCCGGUAGCGGGGGAUAACUACGCGAAAGCGUGGCUAAUACCGCAUACGCCUACGGGGGAAAGCGGGGGACCUUCGGGCCUCGCACUAUUGGAGCGGCCGAUAUCGGAUUAGCUAGUUGGUGGGGUAACGGCCUACCAAGGCGACGAUCCGUAGCUGGUUUGAGAGGACGACCAGUCACACUGGGACUGAGACACGGCCCAGACUCCUACGGGAGGCAGCAGUGGGGAAUUUUGGACAAUGGGGGCAACCCUGAUCCAGCCAUCCCGCGUGUGCGAUGAAGGCCUUCGGGUUGUAAAGCACUUUUGGCAGGAAAGAAACGGCACGGGCUAAUAUCCUGUGCAACUGACGGUACCUGCAGAAUAAGCACCGGCUAACUACGUGCCAGCAGCCGCGGUAAUACGUAGGGUGCAAGCGUUAAUCGGAAUUACUGGGCGUAAAGCGUGCGCAGGCGGUUCGGAAAGAAAGAUGUGAAAUCCCAGGGCUUAACCUUGGAACUGCAUUUUUAACUACCGAGCUAGAGUGUGUCAGAGGGAGGUGGAAUUCCGCGUGUAGCAGUGAAAUGCGUAGAUAUGCGGAGGAACACCGAUGGCGAAGGCAGCCUCCUGGGAUAACACUGACGCUCAUGCACGAAAGUGUGGGGAGCAAACAGGAUUAGAUACCCUGGUAGUCCACGCCCUAAACGAUGUCAACUAGCUGUUGGGGCCUUCGGCCUUGGUAGCGCAGCUAACGCGUGAAGUUGACCGCCUGGGGAGUACGGUCGCAAGAUUAAAACUCAAAGGAAUUGACGGGGACCCGCACAAGCGGUGGAUGAUGUGGAUUAAUUCGAUGCAACGCGAAAAACCUUACCUACCCUUGACAUGUCUGGAAUCCCGAAGAGAUUUGGGAGUGCUCGCAAGAGAACCGGAACACAGGUGCUGCAUGGCUGUCGUCAGCUCGUGUCGUGAGAUGUUGGGUUAAGUCCCGCAACGAGCGCAACCCUUGUCAUUAGUUGCUACGAAAGGGCACUCUAAUGAGACUGCCGGUGACAAACCGGAGGAAGGUGGGGAUGACGUCAAGUCCUCAUGGCCCUUAUGGGUAGGGCUUCACACGUCAUACAAUGGUCGGGACAGAGGGUUGCCAACCCGCGAGGGGGAGCCAAUCCCAGAAACCCGGUCGUAGUCCGGAUCGCAGUCUGCAACUCGACUGCGUGAAGUCGGAAUCGCUAGUAAUCGCGGAUCAGCAUGUCGCGGUGAAUACGUUCCCGGGUCUUGUACACACCGCCCGUCACACCAUGGGAGUGGGUUUUACCAGAAGUAGUUAGCCUAACCGCAAGGGGGGCGAUUACCACGGUAGGAUUCAUGACUGGGGUGAAGUCGUAACAAGGUAGCCGUAUCGGAAGGUGCGGCUGGAUCACCUCCUUU